UGUGGGGCUUACCCUCUGUGGUUCAAAA
rnacentral:piRNA from 1 species